rnacentral:rRNA from 1 species
CCUACGGGAGGCAGCAGUGAGGAAUUUUGGUCAAUGGACGAGAGUCUGAACCAGCCAAGUAGCGUGAAGGAUGAAUGCCCUAUGGGUUGUAAACUUCUUUUAUAUGGGAAUAAAAUGUUCCACGUGUGGGAUUUUGUAUGUACCAUAUGAAUAAGGAUCGGCUAACUCCGUGCCAGCAGCCGCGGUAAUACGGAGGAUCCGAGCGUUAUCCGGAUUUAUUGGGUUUAAAGGGAGCGUAGGUGGAUUGUUAAGUCAGUUGUGAAAGUUUGCGGCUCAACCGUAAAAUUGCAGUUGAAACUGGCAGUCUUGAGUACAGUAGAGGUGAGCGGAAUUCGUGGUGUAGCGGUGAAAUGCUUAGAUAUAACGAAGAACUCCGAUGGCGAAGGCAGUUCACUGGACUGCAACUGACACUGAGGCUCGAAAGUGUGGGUAUCAAACAGGAUUAGAUACCCGAGUAGUC